CUGGAAAGCCUGGGGUAUUUUAAAUGCUGAUACGUCAAAUCCUUCUAGAAACGAAAAUGCUGACCUGCAGGAAUUUAAAUUCAACUAUUUUUCGUAUAUGCACACUCUAGAUGGCAAAUCGGUGAUGUCAAUCAAUAAUUUGUAAUUAAAUACUAGUAACAAAUUAUCCGAUACUGAGCAAAUUGACAACGUGUGAAAUAUGUAUAUGACCCUUAUCAUCUAACACUAUUUCCGAAGGCUAAGGGCUGUGGGUUAGGAUUAUUUCCUUCAUCUAGGCUUGAGCAUAUUAGAAUAUUAGUGAUAGCUAUUGCAAUAGGCGGAAUGUUACCAGUCAAUUAGAUUUAGAAUAGUGGCUUGCUUUAUUUUACCAUCCGUAUUUCUAUGAGAGGACGAAGAUGAAGAAAACUUG
rnacentral:sRNA from 2 species